AUGAGCAAAGUAAGAAGGUGCGCACUACGGAGAGAUGUCUACAGACUAAACAAGCCAUCUACGCUCCACUGACUCUUCGUUGUACCUAUGUUAUUUUCUCAAGGAUGAAGGAGUAUGAAGAGCGCAUGUCACCAACAGUCGAUACUGACGCUUCGCACGGACAGUAGAGCCCUUGGAACCAGUCCACGUUUUUACGACAUUCGAAGUGGAGCUACUUGAGCUGCCUACUCAGUGGCAGCAGCUAGACGUAACCAGUGAUCAGCACUGUGCCGAUGUUGCCGCUAAGUGCUGGGCGAGACGCUCGCACCCGAUGCUUGACACACAUACCAGCCGUACGCAACCUUCACGCUUGCUGCACCCAAGAAAGCACCCAUACCGCACUCCAUUGCUUGAAGAUCUUACUAAAACAACACUAUUACUAUUACAAAAGUAACUCUCAGAAAGCAUAAUAGAUGGCGCUGCCAGUCCCUGGAACUAUACUCGCAAUGCAAUGUGAAUGUCAACCACUUCGGAUGAUCGUGCACUUACAUAAGUUAUGUUAAGUUGGCUGACUUAGGAUGUAGAAUGUUCUCAGCUUGGCGCUCGAUUUGAACUUUGAAUCGGUUACAUAACGCGGCCGCGCCGGGGAGAGCUGCGACUCUACGAUACAUGACGCUGGAUUGCCCUUUAUUUGCCAGGAGUCACGCGAGAAAUGUGCACUCGCUGUAGUUACUGUAGGUACUGCAUUAUACGAUCCGCAAGUCGUAACUAGUUCUUGAAAGUUCCUAGUAAUCACAUAAACCGUGGCGCGCUCUGCGGCAGUUUCUCAGUAAUGGCAGUCUGCCGGGCUUCAUUACACAGGGGACGAACGGUUUCGCCGCAAUCGUAAAUACGCGACAUUAUUGCAACAGACCGUAGGUAUGUUUUGUAAAGAACAUCGUCCGUGUUGACCUUUUCAUUCGACGCUCAAUCUUUUCCAUACAAUACAUUGCUGAGUCGUGGCUCGUAUGCGCGUGUCACAUCGGGGGACAAUUAUCAUCCUUGUAAGGACAGACUUAUAAAUAAAAAUGUUAAUUGCGUGCCAGCA